rnacentral:rRNA from 1 species
CCUACGGGGGGCAGCAGUGAGGAAUAUUGGUCAAUGGACGAGAGUCUGAACCAGCCAAGUAGCGUGAAGGAUGACUGCCCUAUGGGUUGUAAACUUCUUUUAUAUGGGAAUAAAACGUUCCACGUGUGGGAUUUUGUAUGUACCAUAUGAAUAAGGAUCGGCUAACUCCGUGCCAGCAGCCGCGGUAAUACGGAGGAUCCGAGCGUUAUCCGGAUUUAUUGGGUUUAAAGGGAGCGUAGGUGGAUUGUUAAGUCAGUUGUGAAAGUUUGCGGCUCAACCGUAAAAUUGCAGUUGAAACUGGCAGUCUUGAGUACAGGAGAGGUGGGCGGAAUUCGUGGUGUAGCGGUGAAAUGCUUAGAUAUCACGAAGAACUCCGAUUGCGAAGGCAGUUCACUGGACUGCAACUGACACUGAGGCUCGAAAGUGUGGGUAUCAAACAGGAUUAGAUACCCUUGUAGUC